CCUCACUGGACCCAGGGGCUAGCUAAGCUUCGUCAAUCUGGAGAGUUUGUGGUUAUUUUCGAAGGCGUUCAUGGCAAAGGCUACGAUGGGGUACUAGUCUUAGAUGACAUCGAUUUCACAAUUGGUGAAUGUAAGAUACCAAAUUACUGCGGAUUCGAAAAUGGUCAAUGUGGCUUCAAUCAAUCGCCGAGUGAUGCGUUGCUAUGGCAACUUUCCUCCUCCGAUUCCAGUUCAUCCCAAGUCAUACCGCCUUAUGAUUCAACUUUU